AUCUUUCAAUGUUAGAUUUUCAUCUUCAUCUAUUCUUUCUUCAGUUUCCCAAAAUCAACACACCAAAUCACCACCCAAACACAUCUCCACUCUUAAGCACCAUUCUCAACUUUAUAAUUUCCUUCGUGUAAACUGCAGGUCAGGUAACUUUUCUCUUGAUGAAGCUUUUGAUUCCUUCAAUUAUAUGAUUCAUAUGCACCCAACUCCUGCUAUGUCUUCCUUCAGUAUUUUGUUUUCUGCACUUGUUAAGAAAAAACAUUUUGAUCAACUUCUUGUGAUGUACACGAGAUUCAUUUCAGCUGGGUUGUUGCCGGAUUUCAUUAUUUUGAAUAUUUUAAUUGAUUGCUUAAGCAAAAUGGCACGCGAUUCUGAUGGUUUUGUUGUUCUUGGGAGUAUUUUUAGGAGGGUUUUUACCCAAACGCUUUGACUUUUAACAAUCUGAUUAAUGGUCUUUGUAUGGCGGGCAAGAUUAAGAAGGCCAUUGAAUUUUUUAGGAAAAUGGUUUCGGUUGGUUGUAGACCGGAUGUGGUUACAGUUGGGACUUUGAUUACUGGGUUGUGUAGAACUGGUAAUGUCACUGUUGCCCUUCAGUUGUUUGAAGAAAUGAAUAACGGGAAUGGUGAAUUUGGUGUCAUUUGUAAGCCUAAUAUUGUUUGCUAUACUACAAUUAUUGAUGGUCUUUGCAAAUAUGGGUUAGUAGACAAGGCAAAGAAACUGUUUUCAGAAAUGAAGACCAAGGGCAUUAAUCCAGACGUGAUUACUUACACCACUCUAAUUUAUGGUUUGUGUAAUACAUCUAAUUGGGAGGAGGCUAAAACUUUGUUUAUAGAGAUGUUGGAGGAAGGUGUAAAACCUAAUGUGGUGACAUUUAGCGUGGUAAUUGAUAAGCUCUGUAUCAAUGGAAAGAUGGACGAAGCCAAUGGGUUGUUCCAACUAAUGAUUAAUAGAGGUGUUUGUCCCAACACAAUAACUUAUAACACACUUUUGAGUGGUUUUUGCUUGGCAGGUCAAAUUGAUGAUGCUAGAAGGCUAUUUGAUUCCAUGGCAAGUAUGGGGUGUAAGCCUGAUGUUUUUAGCUACAAUAUUUUGAUGAAUGGUUUAUGCUUGACAAAUAAAAUUGAUGAUGCCAAGGAACUUUUAGCCUCAAUGUUGAGUAUGGGAUGCACACCUGAUGUAGUUAGCUACAAUACUCUGAUCAAAUGGUAUUGCAAGAGUCGAAAAAUUGAUGAAGCCUUGAAUCUUUAUGAGGAAAUGACUUCAGAGGGAGUUAGGCCAGAUGUUGUUGCUUAUAAUACCUUGCUAUCUGGGCUUUUUAUGAACGGUAAUGUCAGACAUGCAAAAAAGCUAUUUGGGAGACUCAAUAUUGCUUGGGAAAUGUUCAACAGAUUACAUAGUAAUGGCUUUGUUCCAGAUGUUAUUACAUAUAACAUUAUAAUGCAUGGAUUUUGUAAGGAAGGAAAGUUAGAAAUGGCAAGUAAAUGUUUCUCAGAUAUGGAGCAAAAUGGUGUUGCGCCAGAUUUGGUCACUUUCAAUACGCUUAUGUCUGGUUUCUUGCAGAAUAAUGAGACUUUAAAAGUGGUGGAACUUCUUCACAAAAUGAAAGAGAGAAUUGUGAAACCAGAUGCAUCCAUAGGUUCAACAAUAUUAGAUUUACUGGGAAAGCAUGAAGAUUAUCGUGAAGUCCUGAAUUUGCUACCAUCGUUUUCAACCCAAGAACCAACAGGAUGUUGAUUGUUGAGUAAGUGCAUUUUCCAGGGGAGUAUAGCUUAUCAAGAGAGCCCUGGCAAACGUUAAAGUUUCCGUGUAAAGGAAAAUACUGACGAAGAUGCUCGUAAGGUUGUAGAUGGUUUAGCACCUAAGGCCACUGAUCAAAAUGAUGCUAUUGAGAAAUGGUAUGAACAUUAAUGUCUCAUCUGUGUGCUCUUAGUGCUACUUGUAAUAUACAUACAUAAAUAUAGUCUCUACAUUUUUUCGUUUUUACCAAUCAAUGUUAGUGGGAAUCUUUAUUUCUUUGGAGAGAUGAAUCCCCUUGAUGAAGUCUCUAGUAAGAAGUUGGUGGUAGCUGAUGCUAAGUUGAACUUGGAUGAUGAUGCUGCCUUCCUGGUAGAAGGGAAUCUCUCUUGUGAUCCAUCACUAGAGGGUCCUUGAGAGGUUUCGAUACAUUUACUUCUCGAUUUAUUGUUUACGUGGAAUAAUUAUUCUUAAUAGUAACUGCCAAACAAGUACACGAA